rnacentral:rRNA from 1 species
AGGGAAUAGAUACCCGGGUAGUCCACGCCGUAAACUAUGGAUGCUAGCUGUGAACCGUAUCGACCCGGUUCGUAGCGAAAGCUAAACGCGUUAAGCAUCCCGCCUGUGGAGUACGGCUGCAAGGCUAAAACAUAAAGGAAUUGACGGGGACCCGCACAAGCGGUGGAGCGUGUUGUUUAAAUUCGAUGGUAAGCGAAGAACCUUACCCAGGCUUGACAUCCCGAGAAGCACUGCGAAAGCAGAGUGUGCCGUAAGGAACUCGGAGACAGGUGUUGCAUGGCCGUCGUCAGCUCGUGUCGUGAGAUGUUUGGUUAAGUCCAUCAACGAGCGCAACCCUUAUAGUCAGUUGUAUUUUUCUGGCUAGACUGCCCCGGUAACGGGGAGGAAGGGGGGAUGACGCCAGGUCAGUAUUACCCUUACGUCUGGGGCUACAAACACGCUACAAUGGCCGGUACAAUGGGAAGCCAACCCGCGAGGGGAGCUAAUCCCACCAAAGCCGGUCUCAGUUCGGAUUGCAGGCUGAAACCCGCCUGCAUGAAGCUGGAAUCGCUAGUAA